rnacentral:rRNA from 1 species
AGCGAACGCUGGCGGCAGGCUUAACACAUGCAAGUCGAGCGGGCGUAGCAAUACGUCAGCGGCCGACGGGUGAGUAACGCGUGGUAACGUACCUUUUGGUUCGGAACAUCACAGGGAAACUUGUGCUAAUACCGGAUAAGCCCUUACGGGGAAAGAUUUAUCGCCGCAAGAUCGGCCCGAGUCUGAUUAUCUUGUUGGUGAGUUAACGGCUCACCAAGGCGACGUUCCGUAGCUGGUCUGAGAGGAUGAUCAGACACAUUGGGACUGAGACACGGCCCAAACUCCUACGGGAGGCAGCAGAGGGGAAUAUUGGAAAAUGGGGGCAACCAUGAACCAGCCAUGACGGGUGAGUGAUGAAGGCCGUAGGGUUGUAAAGCGCUUGUGAGCGGGAAGAUAAUGACGGUACCGAAAGAAUAAGCCCCGGCUAACUUCGUG